rnacentral:misc_RNA from 1 species
CUUGGCUGAGCGGGUGGCUUUUAGCCGAGUGGUCUUCGGGGAUGAUUUCCGUAAAGGUGCAUGAGUGGUGUUUGGUUUGUUGCGGAUGGUUGGAUGUCUGCUUGCGCAGCAACUUCCAUGCGGGCUUACCUCUUCAAUUGUGCUACAAGCCUUGUUUGGCUUGCAGCAUUCGGUGGGUUUCUUGUGUUAAUUACCUAAUCGAUGGCAUUGUUUGUCCCCAUUAGUUGGAUUUUGUAACACGUUGCUUGCGGCGUGAUACAAACAAUGAAGCAACCUUUGUUGUUCAACCUGUUGCUGCUCAUGCAUCGAUGGCUUGGCCCAUGAAGUGUUGAUUGGUCCCUUGGAUAUGGAACAUGAUGUGGGCACAAGUUUGUCAAAGAUCUUGUAUUUGCCUUAUUGAGUGAUUUARC